CCACAAGCUUCCCCAAGACGCGGAGAAAGGUGGAAAUCCAACUCACUCACUUUUCGACAGAUAUAACAAUGCUUUUCUUCGUCGAAUUGGUAAGAAACAGGAAUUCGAGAACUAAAUCGAUGAUUUGCUUUGUUUCCCCUAUUUUUCUUGCUGAUACUCUUUUGUAUGUAACAUCUACCACAGUCUUGUCCUAUGUGAACAUGGUAUGUAGUAAUCUCAGGCAUACCAUUCCCAAGUCCGUAGUUUAUUGUCAAGUGCGCGAAGCUAAGCGUAGCUUACUUCAUAAUUUCUUAGGGUGAAUAAAACUCAACCAUUGACUCUGUCUCAUCGCAACUUUCAUUUCCCAAAGCACAACAACAAGAAUCAUCAAUAAGAACAAGAUCAUCGUCAACAACAACAACGAGAAUCAUCAUCAAGAACAAUCAUCAACAACAGAGUCAACGUUUGAAGAAGCCUUCAGAAACGCGAAUGCAAGGUGAAUUAGAGUUGCCACCUGGUUUCAGAUUUCAUCCAACCGAUGAAGAAUUGGUGAAUCAUUACUUGUGUAGAAAAUGUGCUGGCCAAUCAAUUUCUGUUCCUGUUGUUAAAGAAGUUGAUUUGUAUAAGUUUGAUCCAUGGUAGCUUCCUGGUACUUCAUUUUUUCACUUAUGAAUCAUUUCUUUUGUUA